rnacentral:tRNA from 1 species
GCCCCUGUAGCUCAGCUUGGAUAGAGCAGCUGCCUCCUAAGCAGAAGGUCGCGCGUUCAAAUCGCGCCAGGGGCGCCA